ensembl:lncRNA
GGGUCUGAUUCUGCGCAGCGGAUAACAGCGGGAGUUUAAUAAAUACACCACCGCGGCGCCGUCUACCAGAAGAUGGCCAAUUGGAAUCUGAGGAGGAAUCUGAGGAACCUGAGGAGGUCUUUAAUCGAUGGGCUCCUGCCCUGAGCAGCAGCAAGAUAAAUUCCCCCCCCACCCCCUGUGGAGUUCAGACACUGGUCGCUGAUGAGACCGGUUCAGCCUUUGCUUCUGAUGAAGAUGAUGGGGUGGUGGAGGGGUGCGUGACAGCACCAUGACAUGAAACGGAAGGAGGAAGGACGGUCAUAUUUACAGCACCAACCUGAUAUGCUGAAAAUUGUAAUUGUUUCACUUGUGUUUAUUGACUAGAAGCGACCAGCUGACUAUAGAUCGACAUGGUCUCAAGCAUGACGUUUUAUUAGCCCCAUAGCUGCCUGUAUGUCGUAUCAUCAGUUUGUAAAUCUUCUUGUUUUAUAAAGCAUUUGACUGAACCGGUCAGACGGCUUUUGUCUACAGGUGGGUCCUUCUCCUGCACUGGUAUGGACAAG